ACAUACUAGCUAUUUUACAUAUUGUAUCUACUUACAUAUUAUCAAUAAACAAAUUGUGAACUUUCAAAAAUUUUAACGAUAAAUUGUAAAGCUUGGAUUGUUAAAUAUUAAAAAAUUUUAAACAUAGUCGAAUUUGAGUAUUCUAAAAUGUUAAAUGAAUGAAAAUAAUCUAUUAUUUAUAUCUCUUGCAGUUAAAGACGAUGGUUCCGAAAUAUGUAUUUUUACGAUGAAAAAUUUAAAUUGUAAGAUUUUAUUUAAUGAACAUUUUAAUAAACACGGUUUGUCAGAGAAUACAGUAAAAAUGUUCAAAUUCAAAUACAAAGAAAAUGUAAGUCUCGAAAGUUGUACAUAAAAUGAUUCCUAUAAGUUCCAUUUCCAAUCUGAUAAAGUUUCACAAAAAAAACAGAUACUUGUAGAAAAUUACUAAAAUAAAUAUGUCUGCAACUUUCCUCACUAAUUAAUCUCCUCAAUUCCCUCCUUACAGCCGUAUUACACAAUCAAUCCAUUCUAUAGUUCAUUUCUUCUCUAUCUCAUUAGGCUAAUUACCAAUUAUGUCAUAUUCACCGGUAACUAUUUCUGUUUAUUUCAAUUUCAUUAUAAUGUAUUUAAUAUUGAGCACUUGUAUUAUAAUCGUUGAGCUGUAAUAGUUAUAUACUUGAAGCUAAUAAAGAAAAAAAAUAUGUCUGCAAUAAAGUAAAAAAAUUAGGUAUAAGAUAAUUAUCUUAUUUUUUUUUCUAUAGUUACAAGGUAUUAUUGUGGGUAUCCUCAGUGACAUGGGCCAUUAGGUUUACAAAUAAUUUAAAUCGAUAACAUACAUCUUAUAACAUAAUAAUAUUAUUAUAAAUAUUUAAUUAUAUUAAUUAAUGCAUUUAUUAAUAUUAUUAAGAACAUUUAAAUAAAAGGAAACGUAAGAACUUUUGAUGAUGAAUUUAGUUAGUUGAUUAAAUAUUUAAGUAUACAAUUUUGCCAAUUUUUGAAAAUUAUAACAACAUUCAUUACAAUCUUAAUUACAACAGUUAAAAAUAUGGCUCAAAAGUUCUCUUGUACAAGUUGUACAUUUUACGUAGAAUCCGAAUAUUUGUUCAGAAUAAAAAUAGUGAUAAUUAUCAAGAAUCCUCUUAAGCAACAAAAUUGAAAAUCGAAGUUCAAUGCGCCCUGUAGAAAAUUAUCUUCUAACUAACAAAAAAACUAGAAAAUGUAUUGAAGUUGAAGAUCGAAGCAUUUGUACUGCUCAAAAAUGACACAACAUUUGUGGUACCUACCUACUGCGUAGUACUUCUAGGUAUUUCACAUGGCGCAAGUAUCAUCGAGACAUGGAUGCUACUAGCUCUACCUGUGGAAAAGGAGGACGGUGGCUGAAUCCCGCUGCAUCCACUGCGAUGAGCCGGAGGGCUCAGUGGAACAUACGCUGUUCCAUUAUCAGUACUGGGCGGAGGGUAGGUUUGAGAUGGAGCAGAGCAUUGGUCGGCGACUGCAGCCAGAAAAUGUCUCUGAUUUCAUUCUGGGGCCUAAGCAGGAGCUCCUCCCGGAUGAUAUGUCAAGGAUGCAGCGUAUUAAGGCGUUGGCGGAGAAGCAGAGGCUAGCGUUUGACAGGAUGGUAGAGACGAUACUCAGGCAGAAGAAGGCUGCAGCGCAUCAGGCGGGAUACAAGUGGACGGGUAGGGUAGACGUUGUGUUAUUCUGUGGGCCGAAGGCCAGCUUUUCUGGGUGGUUAGAGGCCCCCACCUAUGUAUAACUAAAUUAUGAUGGUGAAUAAACGAUAGGAUAACGACAAACACGGGUGGUAAUAUUGUGAUAAACAGUACCCACCCGUUCCCAGUUUUUGAAAGGUAAGGUGAACCUGGCACAUAGUCAAAAUAGUUUUUUGAUGACUCUCUAUUCAAAACAUUUUAAUUUAUAAUUUAAUAUAAUAUUAAGAUUGUUUUUGCUUUAUUUUUUUUUCUAAUUUUAUUUAUUCCAAAUCAUGUUUAAAAACGAAAAAAUGUCGGGGGUUACAUGCUCGGUUACGUAUUCUGGAUUUUGAUUUAAAAAUACUAGUUGAACUACUCUACGAGAAUAACAAUAAUUCACAUUUACAUUUUUAAUUGUUAGGUAAAAAACCUUAGAUUUAACUCCAUCAAACCAUUCGAGAAACAAUAUCUCGUUGAAAUCCUGACAUAAAGCAAUGUUACAGAUAGGAC